AGUGGGGUCAAUUGACCCCACUCAAUUUAAAAAUUAGAAAAAAAAUCCCUGUUAUGUAUUGAAUUGAAUUACCCAAUAGUUGGUCACAAGUAAGAAUAUAGAGUUCAACCCAAUGUGGACAUCUGUGCCAAAUUCUUUUAAGUGUCGGGAUAAGAGGACUCCAAGUCCUAUAAAAAUACUUUACGUGGGCCAAGUUAAAAGUGAUAGGAAGGAAAAAAAAGAAGUUACUGGAACAUUUUUUUUUCCAAAAGAAAAAUUUUCUAUUUCGCAGAAAUUGAAACGCGGUGAAGUUAAUUCAUUGUGCAAGAUUUUUUUUUUUCAAGCAAGAAGAAAAAUAUUUUAAGAAAAAAUAUUUUUUUAUUUUUUACAAUUUUUGAAUAGAAAUUUUUUAAAGAAAUUUAGAGUAAGAUUUUCUUUGUUUGUCUAUAAAUUUCAUUAAUCAAAGAGUUGAUAGCCGAGCUUGAUUUCAGUGUAAACACAUAUAGAGUUCUCACAUUAUCAAAAAAAUUUCAGUUUAUAACAAGGAUUUAUUAUUUUAUGAGAUUAUAUUUUUACUCAAUUUUUAUAGUAUAUUGAAAAUUUACAAACAUUAUUGUUUUUUUUUAAUAAAUAAUUUAUUAUUGUAUACAAUAUAUUUUAUAAAUUAAAAUAAAUUUUUUUGACCCCGCUAACUUAAUUUUUUGGCUACGCCCUUGCAUGCACCUGAGCAUGUGUGAAAAGUUACCAUAUGCUUGCUGUGUCUUUAACAAGUUAAUAUUGUAUUUGAUGACAUUUGUCUGAUAGCUUGCUAAAAAACCUUCAUUAGAAUGAAAAUUGAUUUUGUUCAUAGUGCUUAUAGUGCAUUUUUAUUUAAAUGUGAGACUUUAUUUUUUCUUGCAUGCUUGUCUCUAACCAAGUAAAGGAUGUCCUUUUCAAGACAAGAUGGUGUCUCAUUAAUCCCAUAUAUCCAAUGUUUAAUGAAAUUGAAUUCAGUAGUGGAUGUAGCUUCGGAAAUGUGCCUGUUUAUUAGACAGAUAUCCUUUUAUCCUGGUCAUUCAGGAAUGUGAUUUUAAUCGAUUUGCUUUUAUCGACGCCGUUCCAGUGGCUUGCCUAAAAGGAGAGCA
rnacentral:misc_RNA from 1 species